GAAAAAGCACUGGGAACUAAAGAUGCCUUUAAACUGAGAGGGCUACUCAGCAGGGAUCCAGGAUUUCAAAUCUCUGCCAGGAAGUGGCUUCAGACGCUUGAAGCCUGAAGAUGGAAAAUCCUAACCCUUGGUUUUGCUUCAGGUUCCAGCAAGUAGGAACAGAGUUCCCAUAAAAUGAAGCUAAGGUCACUGGCAGAGUGCAAUGGGUUAAACUGACAUGACCGGAAUUGGACAGUGAGCACUGCUGGCCCCAUCUCGGAAACGAGAGUGGACCAGGAGGAGUUUUCAGAGGAGUCUGUGAUAGGCGCUUUGUGACUCCAGGACACGUUGAGAUUAUUUUGCCCUUCUGCCUUCUUCCAUGGGAAAUACAGCAAGAAAGCCCUCGCCACAUGCAGCCCCUCCAUGUUGGACUUCCCAGUCUUCAGAACCAUGAGCCAAAUAAACUUCUAUUGUUUAUAAAUUACUAAGUCUCAGGCAUCUUGUUACAGGAGCACAAAAUGGACUAAGACAUUUAGUAAUGUGAAAUGCAUUGAAGUAUGCUUUGUACAUGAUAAGCACUGAUUAAAUAUUAAAGAUCCUUAUUAGUAUCUUGCAUUGUUACCUCUCUUAUAAUAAUUUAAAAGUUAUAAAACCAAAAGCCUUCGAACUGUAAAAAGAGACUUUGAGGUCUUCAUUUCACUAAUAAUAAAAGUGAAGUCCAAAAAGAUUAAAAAACUUUCUCAGGGCAACACAGCAACUUAAUGACAGGUGAGAAACAUGACCCUGUUUUCUGACCAGUGUUUUAAGGCUUUCACUGUUCUAGUCACUGAUAAUUUGUGGUGACCAACACUGAAAUCAGUGAUUCAUUUCACAGAUAAAAUAUAAAUUAAAAGUUCAUAAGCCUAUGAAUUGGUAGACUAAAAACC
rnacentral:lncRNA from 10 species